AGGUGAUCUGGCUGCAACAUCUGUCACCCCAUUGGCCACCAGGGUUGAUUCAGCUGAUCUGGUUGGCUAGGCAGGUGUCCUGUCCUCUCUUACCACUCCAUGUGUGUCCCUUCCAAAGCCACAUGCUCAGGUGAAGAGGGCAACCUUCCCACCCAGACUUCUCCAGUUUGUCUAGAGGGGAGUAAAUGCCUUCAGAUAGGUGAGGACUUGGGAAUGUGGUGAGGCAUUGUUCCAUAAGGUUUAUCCUGACAAGUCCUAGACCUAGGGUCUGAAAAUCUUCACUAGAAGAGAGACUGACUGGUCUUUGGUAGAGGUAUACGAGUAUCUGUGCUCUUCUGCUAAACAAGCUCUCAAAGUCCAUAUGUUAGUUCUUCCAGGAAUUAAUGACACGAACAGUAUUUCAGUGUUGAAUGUCU
rnacentral:snRNA from 1 species